rnacentral:rRNA from 1 species
UAUGCUGGAAUGCAUUAUGCGUAAAAUGGAUUCGUCUGCCCAAGGAUGGGUCUGCGGCCUAUCAGGUAGUAGUGGGUGUAAUGUACCUACUAGCCAACAACGGGUACGGGUUGUGAGAGCAAGAGCCCGGAGAUGGAUUCUGAGACAUGAAUCCAGGCCCUACGGGGCGCAGCAGGCGCGAAAACUUUACAAUGCGGGAAACCGUGAUAAGGGGACACCGAGUGCCAGCAUCAUAUGCUGGCUGUCCAGAUGUGUAAAAUACACCUGUUAGCAAGGGCCGGGCAAGACCGGUGCCAGCCGCCGCGGUAACACCGGCGGCCCGAGUGGUGAUCGUGAUUAUUGGGUCUAAAGGGUCCGUAGCCGGUUUGGUCAGUCCUCCGGGAAAUCUGAUAGCUCAACUAUUAGGCUUUCGGGGGAUACUGCCAGGCUUGGAACCGGGAGAGGUAAGAGGUACUACAGGGGUAGGAGUGAAAUCUUGUAAUCCCUGUGGGACCACCUGUGGCGAAGGCGUCUUACCAGAACGGGUUCGACGGUGAGGGACGAAAGCUGGGGGCACGAACCGGAUUAGAUACCCGGGUAGUCCCAGCCGUAAACGAUGCUCGCUAGGUGUCAGGCAUGGCGCGACCGUGUCUGGUGCCG